GGCUGCACGGUGGCACAGUUGGUAGCACUGUUGCCAGCACUGUUGCCUUGCAGCAAGAAGGUCCUGGGUUCGAUUCCCAGCCUGGGGUCU